AAGCCUGAAGGCAGAAGGAGGCGUGGCCCACACUUGAGGUGGGGCCCUGUGAGCACCAGGGUGUUUUCAUGUCUGGAGGGGAUACCUGGAAAUGCCAAAGCCAUCUUGCCAUCAGCCUGAGAAUGGACCCAACGACUGAGGAUGGAGGAACACAAAAUGCACUUUGGCUCUUUCUGUGGUCCAUCCGGCAGCAUGCAAUGUCCUUGACCCACAGAUGGUA